rnacentral:rRNA from 1 species
GACGAACGCUGGCGUUGUGCUUAACACAUGCAAGUCGAACGGAAAGGCCCUGCUUUUGUGGGGUGCUCGAGUGGCGAACGGGUGAGUAACACGUGAGUAACCUGCCCUUGACUUUGGGAUAACUUCAGGAAACUGGGGCUAAUACCGGAUAGGAGCUCCUGCUGCAUGGUGGGGGUUGGAAAGUUUCGGCGGUUGGGGAUGGACUCGCGGCUUAUCAGCUUGUUGGUGGGGUAGUGGCUUACCAAGGCUUUGACGGGUAGCCGGCCUGAGAGGGUGACCGGCCACAUUGGGACUGAGAUACGGCCCAGACUCCUACGGGAGGCAGCAGUGGGGAAUAUUGCACAAUGGGCGGAAGCCUGAUGCAGCAACGCCGCGUGCGGGAUGACGGCCUUCGGGUUGUAAACCGCUUUCGCCUGUGACGAAGCGUGAGUGACGGUAAUGGGUAAAGAAGCACCGGCUAACUACGUGCCAGCAGCCGCGGUGAUACGUAGGGUGCGAGCGUUGUCCGGAUUUAUUGGGCGUAAAGGGCUCGUAGGUGGUUGAUCACGUCGGAAGUGUAAUCUUGGGGCUUAACCCUGAGCGUGCUUUCGAUACGGGUUGACUUGAGGAAGGUAGGGGAGAAUGGAAUUCCUGGUGGAGCGGUGGAAUGCGCAGAUAUCAGGAGGAACACCAGUGGCGAAGGCGGUUCUCUGGGCCUUUCCUGACGCUGAGGAGCGAAAGCGUGGGGAGCGAACAGGCUUAGAUACCCUGGUAGUCCACGCUGUAAACGGUGGGUACUAGGUGUGGGGUCCAUUCCACGGGUUCCGUGCCGUAGCUAACGCUUUAAGUACCCCGCCUGGGGAGUACGGCCGCAAGGCUAAAACUCAAAGGAAUUGACGGGGCCCCGCACAAGCGGCGGAGCAUGCGGAUUAAUUCGAUGCAACGCGUAGAACCUUACCUGGGUUUGACAUGGAUCGGGAGUGCUCAGAGAUGGGUGUGCCUCUUUUGGGGUCGGUUCACAGGUGGUGCAUGGCUGUCGUCAGCUCGUGUCGUGAGAUGUUGGGUUAAGUCCCGCAACGAGCGCAACCCUUGUUCACUGUUGCCAGCACGUUAUGGUGGGGACUCAGUGGAGACCGCCGGGGUCAACUCGGAGGAAGGUGGGGAUGACGUCAAGUCAUCAUGCCCCUUAUGUCCAGGGCUUCACGCAUGCUACAAUGGCUGGUACAGAGAGUGGCGAGCCUGUGAGGGUGAGCGAAUCUCGGAAAGCCGGUCUCAGUUCGGAUUGGGGUCUGCAACUCGACCUCAUGAAGUCGGAGUCGCUAGUAAUCGCAGAUCAGCAACGCUGCGGUGAAUACGUUCCCGGG